UACGUAGGCAGCAAGCGUUGUUCGGAGUUACUGGGCGUAAAGGGUGUGUAGGCGGUUUUCUUAGGUUGGUUUGAAAUCUCCCGGCUCAACUGGGAGGGUGCGCCGAAAACUGGAGGGCUAGAGUACUGGAUGGGAGAGUGGAAUUCCUGGUGUAGCGGUGAAAUGCGUAGAUAUCAGGAGGAACACCUGUGGUGUAGACGGCUCUCUGGACAGUAACUGACGCUGAGACACGAAAGCGUGGGUAGCAAACAGG
rnacentral:rRNA from 1 species